rnacentral:rRNA from 1 species
GACGAACGCUGGCGGUGUGCUUAACACAUGCCAGUCGAACGGUAAGGCCCUUUCGGGGGUACACGAGUGGCGAACGGGUGAGUAACACGUGAGUAACCUGCCCUCAUCUCUGGGAUAACAGUCGGAAACGGUUGCUAAUACUGGAUAUGAGCCUGCAAGGCAUCUUGUGGGUUGGAAAGAUUUUUUGGUUGGGGAUGGACUCGCGGCCUAUCAGCUUGUUGGUGAGGUAGUGGCUCACCAAGGCUUCGACGGGUAGCCGGCCUGAGAGGGCGACCGGCCACAUUGGGACUGAGAUACGGCCCAAACUCCUACGGGAGGCAGCAGUGGGGAAUAUUGCACAAUGGACGGAAGUCUGAUGCAGCAACGCCGCGUGCGGGAUGACGGCCUUCGGGUUGUAAACCGCUUUCAAUUGUGACGAAGCUUUUUGUGACGGUAGCAGUAGAAGAAGCACCGGCUAACUACGUG